UACGGGGGGGGUAAGCGUUGUUCGGAAUUAUUGGGCGUAAAGAGCUUGUAGGCGGUUUGUCGCGUCUGCUGUGAAAUUUCGGGGCUCAACCCCGAACUUGCAGUGGGUACGGGCAGACUAGAGUGUGGUAGGGGAGACUGGAAUUCCUGGUGUAGCGGUGAAAUGCGCAGAUAUCAGGAGGAACACCGGUGGCGAAGGCGGGUCUCUGGGCCGAUAUUGACGCUGAGGAGCGAAAGCGUAGGGAGCGAACAGG
rnacentral:rRNA from 1 species